rnacentral:tRNA from 1 species
AUUACUUUGGCAGAUUUAAGUGCUAUGGAUUUAGAAUCCAUAUAUGUAAUUUUUACAGGUAAUA